CCCUUUGGGUCAAAAGUACAGAUACGCCAACAGCUUAAAAUAGAUAUCACAGCGGUGACAAAAUUGUUACCGCGGUGACAUUUUUGUCACUGCGGUAAUAAAUUUAUCACUGCGGUGAUAUAUUUGUAACUGUUGUGAUACUUUGUUUGACCCAAACAGUUUGAUAAGAGCUAAAUCGAACUAACCAAUGAAACAACGUCUUGCAAAACGGCAAAUCGGCGAAUAUUUACUGCGAAGUUUUCAAGAUGUCUGCCUCCAUGGAUACUGUAAACAACUUUUCAGAUCAUGAGUUUGGUAAUUUUAAUCUUCGGACACAAGGAUGACGACAAUUAAGAGUCCAUCAAUGGUUGUGAAAUCAAGGAUAUUCUAUUGGAAGGAAAGACAUGAAUGCAUUCAAGUUUCCUGUGAGCAAUAUGAUUUCCUGACUUUGCCUUACAGUAUAAAACAAGAGAGUUAAACACUUGAAACUUGAAAAGAUGUGGUCCUAGAACCUGAAAUGGCAACUCCAGCUCUCUACAAAAGCAUCAUCUGGAAUCCAACUAUGUACAAUCAAAAAAUUAAUGUGUGUCUUAAUUUUGUCUUUUUAGAGCCCUGACGGGUCUUAAGAUAUCAGAUGUUUUAAAAUUCAUUGUGUUUGUGCUGCAAGUUUUAUGAACUGGUUAUAAAGCUUAUGUAUGAAGAACCGUUUACUGCCUGGUUAGCUGCAGUAGAGCACUCAUAGGAAUUGGGAGAUCUGUGGAAUCCCUUUGUGGCUUGCAAAUUUCAACCUGUUUUCAAAAAUUGCUUAGUUGGUCAGUGUGUUAAUAUUUCAAUUUUCAGGUCUGGUAAAGAAAGUUAUUUAAAGGCAGUGUGCAAGGUUUUCCUUAAUAAUAGCAUGUACACAGGAAAAAAAAGCUUAAUAUUAGAUAUUUUGUUAUAAUCAGUUUGUGGUCCGUCCAUAGCUAAACAUGAACAUAGAUAUUUUUUACUUUUAUUAGUACUAUAUACAUAUUAUAAAUAAAAGGUUGUAUCUUGCAUCUUCUAAUCCUUAAAGUGGCAUGGUGGCCUAGUGUGUGUGUUGUUUAUCUAUGAAAUUUAUACAUGUAUACUAAUAUCUAGGCUACAUUAUGAUGUACUUCUCAAAGAACAGUAUGUUUAAAAUGCAGGUUUAUACUAAUUUAAAUACAGGUACAAAUUAAUCCUGUGUUGUAUAUAGCAGAAUGUCCCUUAUUUUCACUGUUAUCUUUUAAAACUGUUCAGGUACACUUCACCUGCAUAAAACUAGUUCAGAUAUAUAUGUCCCAUAGAGCAAAACAAUUGUCACUAAAUCAUUGUAUAAUCGUUAUUGGCAGUUCACUUCUGUAGUUUCUGAAAUGAAAAAUUGUUGUUACCUACCUUCACUCUUAAUUCAGUUUUAGUGGAAUGCUUAAUUUCAUUUUCUUUUCUUUAUUAGUUGUAAGUAGUGGGCUCUGUGUUCUGAUUAGUUCCUAAAUUGAACACAUGUUUAAACGUCGGUUGUUAAAUUGUAUAACAUGUUAAUGCAGAAUUGUACCAUAACAUGAAAUUGUAUUUUUUGCUUUGUACAUUGUUUGAAAUGUUACCAUCUUGUUUCUAAUAAAUGUUUUUUAUAAUUCACCAUCUAGUCCUAUUUGCAAAAAAGUGAACCAUUUAAAUAUUGUAUUUAAAGUAUACACCCGUUAGCCUUACUUAAGUCGUGAACAUUUCGUAGGCAUUUGUUAUCCCCAGUAAUAGGCGGAGGGAUAUUGUUUUGGCGCUGUUUGUCCGUCCUUCCGUCCGUCCGGCACUUUUGUGUCCAGAGCCAUAUCUUGUUAGUGCUUUAGCGGAUUUCAUUGAAACUUGGUAUGAGUAUAUUAUAUGGAUAAGAGGAUGAUGUACACUUUGUAUCUUGAAAAAAAUGCUUUUUAAUAUAAUCUUAGAGCUUUAUCUUCACUAACACAUGAGCCAGAGCCAUGAAACUUGCCAUAGUUGUUCUCAAUCAUCUAGGGGUGCUUCACAUUCAACAUCCAUAAUUCUAGGGGCUAAGGUCAUGGCCCUUUGUAUCUUGAAAAAAAUGCUUUUUGAUAGAAGCUUAGAGCUUUAUCUUCAUUAACACAUGAGCCAGAGCCAUGCAACUUUCUAUAGUUAUUCCAAUCAUCUGGGGUUGUUUCACAUUCAACACCCAUAAUCCUAGGGGCUAAGGUCAAGGUCACACAUUGAGGUCAAAGGUCACAAAUUUGAGGAAUUAUUCAUUAAUUGGUAAUUCCUUUACUAUGCAUCAAGGAAUUCUGUUAUAACUGUCACAAUUGUUCUCAAUUAUCUAGCUGAGUUUCAAAUAUAAGAUCCAGGUUGCUAGGGUCAUGGUCAAAGUCACACACAAAGGUCAAAAUCACACAUUUUGAUCAUAUAUAUAUAUAUAUAUAUAUAUAUAUAUAUAUAUAUAUAUAUAUAUAUAUAUAUAUAUAUAUAUAUAUAUAUAUAUAUAUAUAUAUAUAUAUAUAUAUUAAAACUCAGACCCCACAUAGAUUGCAACCGUCAAUAUUUUCUACACCGAAGUACCAUUAAAAGACCAGUAUUGUUAGUGAGUAUGCACAUUAAGAUCUUAUGCUGAAUGUUCAGUUGGAGUAUGAAUGCUAUUCCAACCACUAUUUCACUUUUAAAAUAUGUAACCACCAAUUGCGAGUCCGCAUGCAAAGAUGUAUUGUAUUUAUUAAAUUUAGAAUUUCUAAAUUCUGGAUAUUAUUUAGAGUAGCAGCAAUCUCAACAUUUCUUACACAAAUUUUAUUCUGUUAAUAAGACGUGUAUAGUAUAGUGCAGGUUAUAAUCUGUUUUUAAAACUAUUAUAUCUAAACAUGUAAUAUACUUUUCUAUUAUUGCAUAAAAAUAGUCAUGUAUUAGUUUUAAUACAUUUUAAAAGUACAUAGGUGAGACUGUAUCA